CCCUAGCCCUGAUGGUAGCGGCAUCCUUUUUCUGGCUCCUUUAGCCAGGAAAAGAUAUAGCGGACAGCAGGAAACAGC
rnacentral:sRNA from 1 species